rnacentral:sRNA from 1 species
UCUCUGAUGAGGCUGUCGGCCGGGGUGGG